AUGAACGCUAGCGACAGGCCUAACACAUGCAAGUCGAGGGGCAGCACAAGGAGCAAUCUGAGGUGGCGACCGGCGCACGGGUGAGUAACACGUAUGCAACCUGCCUGUAAGCGGGGAAUAACCCGUUGAAAGACGGACUAAUACCGCAUAAUACUAAAUUACUGCAUGGUAAUUUAUUUAAACAUUUAUGGCUUACAGAUGGGCAUGCGCAUGAUUAGCUAGUUGGAGAGGUAACGGCUCCCCAAGGCAACGAUCAUUAGGGGUUCUGAGAGGAAGGUCCCCCACAUUGGUACUGAGACACGGACCAGACUCCUACGGGAGGCAGCAGUGAGGAAUAUUGGUCAAUGGACGAGAGUCUGAACCAGCCAAGUCGCGUGCAGGAAGAAUGUCCUAUGGAUUGUAAACUGCUUUUGCAGGGGAAUAAAGUGCAUCACGUGUGAUGUUUUGUAUGUACUCUGCGAAUAAGGAUCGGCUAACUCCGUGCCAGCAGCAGC
rnacentral:rRNA from 1 species